ensembl:lncRNA
GUUGACCAUGUCCUUGUCCAUGAGGGAGGCUGGGCAACGAGUACAACCAAAUUUGAGUCGCUUCACUGUUGCCUCCAUCAUCAGAACCUUCAGGGAGGAAAACAGGACACAGAGACGACCACCUGGUGGAGGCAGGUUAAGGCUUUUGUCGGAGGAGCAAGAGAGGGAACUUGUAAACAUGGUAAUUGCAAAUAAUGUAAUCCGCCUGCAAGAGAUUCAAAGGAGAGUGAUUGAGGAUGAUCAUCUUUUUCGAGGCAUAAAUGCCAUCAGCCUCUCCACAAUUGACCGCAUCCUCCGAAAGAAUCAAUUCCGGAUGAAACAGGCAUACCGAGUCCCUUUCGAACGAAACUCUGACAGAGUGAAAAACCAACGUGUGGAAUAUGUUCAGAGAAUCUUUGAGAUUGAAGGACGGCCUGUUCCCCAUGAAAUAAUCUUUGUGGAUGAGGCAGGUUUUAACCUGACCAAAAGAAGGAAAAGGGGGAGGAACAUAAUUGGCCAUCGGGCUAUUGUAAAUGUCCCUGGUCAGCGUGGAGGGAAUGUCACUAUGUGCGCAGCCAUCAGCCAACGAGGGGUACUCCACCGCCAUGCCGUACUAGGACCCUAUAACACUAUGCUUCUCCUUGCUUUUCUUGAUGGUUUAAGACAACAUAUGUUCCAGCUGGACUACAGGGAACCAGCACAGCCAGAGCAGCCUCACUACGUUGUUGUGUGGGAUAACGUCAGCUUCCAUCGCGCUGCUCUGGUUCGUGACUGGUUUACCAAUAACCCAAAGUUUUCUAAUAUCUUUCUGCCUGCAUACUCUCCCUUUCUAAACCCGAUAGAGGAGUUAUUUUCGGCAUGGCGGUGGAAAGUGUAUGACCGAGAACCUUAUGUCCGUGUUCACCUCCUUCAGGCCAUGGAAGAAGCCUGCCUAGACAUAUCAGUAGAUGCAUGCCAGGGGUGGAUCAGGCAUGCAAGAGGAUUUUACCCCCGCUGCCUGGCUAGGGCCAAUAUAGCCUGUGAUGUGGAUGAGAUUCUCUGGCCUGACCCAGACCAAAGACAAGAUGCUGAGGUGG